GGCAGAUGUUGUCAAAUCGAACGGGUGUUGCGGCCAUACUGAAGGUUCUUUAUCRUAUAAAAGUCGACUUAAUAUUAAACUUGGAACGAAAAACCCUAAKAACUUACUGGAAAACAUUAACGUGAUCCCUUGAUAUUGUCAAGCAUGUUGAACCCUAUCAUACCUUUAUGUGUCUUCUUGGCCUUAUUCUCAACAGUCAGAGAAAUCGAUGCAAGACAAAUCACAGAGAAAAGCAACCAGGCAAAUUAUUUUCUUUCCAGGCUCUCUCGUCAUAAGCGUUUGUUUGGAGGCUGGCAYGAGGAAGCGCGUGAAACAACUGGAGGGAUAGUGCCCUGUAGGAGUAAUGAGCGUGCAAGACCCCGGCCAUGUAACCCUGCACCAGGCCCCUGAGUUAUGUUGCCAUGCUGGAAUACUAGGAUACUGGGACUGAGAACAGACAAUGAUCUUAUGGGGGGAUGGGUGGGGAUGACAACWUGACGAAAGAGACAUUGAAUACAAAUGUUAUUUUAUUUUAGUACUAGUUAGAUUUCGAUAUCAUUGCAGUGUAAUAGUCCCAGCAUGGUUACUUGCAGCUAGAAUUAUGAAUACAAAACACCCAACAAGAUAAAUUUA